rnacentral:tRNA from 1 species
GGAAUAUUAUGACCAGGUUCGAAGCUUCUAACUUUAUCCCAAGCGGUUAAAUUCCGUUUAUAUUCCU